UACGUAGGGUGCAAGCGUUGUCCGGAAUUAUUGGGCGUAAAGAGCUCGUAGGCGGUCUGUCGCGUCGGCUGUGAAAUCCCGGAGCUCAACUCCGGGCCUGCAGUCGAUACGGGCAGACUGGAGUUCGGCAGGGGAGACUGGAAUUCCUGGUGUAGCGGUGAAAUGCGCAGAUAUCAGGAGGAACACCGGUGGCGAAGGCGGGUCUCUGGGCAGUAACUGACGCUGAGACGCGAAAGCGUGGGAGCAA
rnacentral:rRNA from 1 species